GACGAACGCUGGCGGCGUGCUUAACACAUGCAAGUCGAACGGAAAGGCCCUGCUUGCAGGGUACUCGAGUGGCGAACGGGUGAGUAACACGUGGGUGAUCUGCCCUGCACUUCGGGAUAAGCCUGGGAAACUGGGUCUAAUACCGGAUAGGAGCCAUUUUUAGUGUGAUGGUUGGAAAGUUUUUUCGGUGUAGGAUGAGCUCGCGGCCUAUCAGCUUGUUGGUGGGGUAAUGGCCUACCAAGGCGGCGACGGGUAGCCGGCCUGCGAGGGUGGACGGCCACAUUGGGGCUGGGGUACGGCCCAGACUCCUACGGGAGGCAGCAGUGGGGAAUAUUGCACAAUGGGCGCAAGCCUGAUGCAGCGACGCCGCGGGGGGGAUGACGGCCUUCGGGUUGUAAACUCCUUUCGCUAGGGACGAAGCUUUUUGUGACGGUACCUAGAUAAGAAGCACCGGCUAACUACGUG
rnacentral:rRNA from 1 species